GGAACACAAUGAUGGGACGGUUGAUGAGCUUCAUGAGGAAGAGCUCCGAGUCCCCUGUCCCAAGAAAGGGGAAGGGCGGUCAGCUCCAGGGUCCUCUUCGGAAGUGUCUCCCCCACCCUGAAGUCUAAUCUGAGAUCUUGAUGGACACCUAGGCCUCUGCGUGACACCUCUGGGAUGCUGAUCAUGUCCCAGGAAGAACAUCAGCUUCAAAAGGGAAGGGUCCAGGGCAAGAUGGCAUCACCUUCUCACCGUUGUGGCUCAAAUGUGUUUCCUGGCAGGGCCUAGAACCCCAGGCAGGCAGUGGCCAUAUCCUCCUGCCCCACGAAACCCAUGCCUCAAGAGCCGGAACAUCAAAAAUUUCUCAUUUUGAGGUUAUCCCUUAGGCUUGAAACCCAGGAUCUCCCUGGCUCUGUGACUUCAGACGAUAGGUUCCAUGACUCAAAUAAUCAAAAACUUAAAGUGGCCCUUGUCCUCAUCGGCAGUUCAAUUUGUCACUUAUGUGUCCCUGUCUUCACACUAAGACACCCACCAUGGGACUCAAACUCAUGACCCAGGGAUCAAGAGACGCGUGCUCUCCAGAAUGAGCCAGCCAGCCGCCUCUUACUUGGUUAUCUUAAUGCCGUUUGAGCUCCAGUACAAAAGCGGCUUCCUUGUUCUUCUUCCCUGUUCUAGAACAUUCCACAGCACUGUGGGCCGUGUUUGUUUACCCGGCGCCGUAUGGAUGGACAUUUGGAUUGUUGCGGUGGAUGCCUUGCUUUGGCCAGGCCCCCCUCCCAACAGUGUAGUCCUCAACCACACACCGGCAUGUUUUUGUGCAUCUCCUUGCCCAACCAUGCCCUGUGUACCGUGUAAGGAAAUGAAGGUUGUCCAGUCUUGCCUUGAAUGCCUCUGGUAAUGCGGAGCUCACUCCAUGCUCUGUCCAGUGCCAAGGCGGGUGGUAUGUAUGUGCCGUGCACUAGCUUGCUUGGAGAUUUGGAAGUGAGGAAGCCCUGGCCCAUUGAAGCUGCCAGGAGUGAGGGUGUCCUAUGGAGUUGCCAAACGACCACAUGUCUGGAUCUCCUGACCAUAGAGCCUUAGAUGGGGUAAGAGGGAAGCCUCUCUUUUUUUUUU